CUUGUCCCAAAGGCAUUUCAGGUAUGGCCACUGUGUUACAUGUUCAUCAAUGAGUGACAGAGAGGCUAUGUCUAGGCCAGUGUCCUGAACAUCUGAAUGAUUAGUAGUCUAACAUU
ensembl:snoRNA LOC120101343 small nucleolar RNA SNORA17